CACCCGUGUCACCCGUGCCAGUCUGGCCGGGGGCUGACGGCUCGGGCUGCGUUUUUGGGGCUGAGGGCUCUGCUUCCCCCAAAGCCUCUAGAUGGCAAUCGCUCGCAGCGCUGCCGCUUUCCGGAGCUCGCUGGAAAAAUUGAGGCUCUUGGAGCCACCCCUUUUCUUGCCAGAAAGCCUGGCUAUUGCAUCCUGCAGAACAACGCUCAGAGCCCGAGGUUGUUUCCAGCAUCCUUUGUGCCUUGCUCCCUGCUGGUUCGCCGUGCAGGGGCCACAGCAGCUCCCCGGCGAUGCGUCCCUUCCGAUUCCCCUCUCCUCACACGGUGCUUCGGGAGCGAGAAGGACGAGCCAUCAGCCCCGACAUCGGCACCUGUGGCUCGCAGGGACAUAACAUACCUGGAGAAAAAUAAUCAUUAAAUCACCCAUUUUAUUCCUAGCUGGCUGGAAAAGGCUUUCCCCGCUGUAUCCGAACUUAAAAGUGUCUUUUUAAGUGCAGAGUGACUGGCUUGGCUGCCUUGCUGCCGUGGGGGCUGAGGUGGGCUGAGCCCGGGGCACCCCAGAUUUGGCUGCCCUCAGCCAGGAGCCACUUGCCAGGUGCUCCCCGUGGGGCCAUGAGGGACAGGGACCAGCUGGAUCCUGCUGCGGAUGCUGGGACUGGAGAAGUUUUGAGCUGGGAAACUGCAAACAUCGGCUGUCCCCGGCGAUGGGCGCUGUAAAUGGCAUUUAUUGUCUUGAAAGGAGAGUGCUCCCAGCCCCGGGCGUUGCUCACAGCAGCUGCUGGGCAGGUUUCUGAGCUGCUUACAGAGUGGGCAGCCAGGCAGUGGGGUUUCACAGGAAGACCCUCGAUUUGCUGUAUCUGCUGCAUCCUGCCUCCAGCUAAGGACAAGGCUUGGCUCAUCCCACAGCCCUGGCUCAUGCUGCAGCCCCAGCUCAUCCUGCAGCCCUGGCUCAUCCCACUGCCACCCUCCACCUCGAGCUUCCCAGAAAUGGGUCAGCUUGGCUUUGUCUGGAUCUGACCGGCAACCUCUGCACCGGGAGCUGCAUCAGGAGCUUCCCCAUUCGCUGCUGGUUUGGUCUGGAGCAGCCGUGCCCAGG